UCUGGGCAGCUGUGUCUGCAGCGGUUUCCAUGAGGCCACCUGGCCUCUGGAGAAGUGCAGACUACAGCAGCAGUGCUGGAUUUGUUAUGUGUUGUGUAUUAUAACUGCUAAGAGAAACCCCGAGCAGCUGAGGGGCAAAAAACUAAAAGUUUAUUGCAGUUGCUCUUUUAAAUGUUCUGCAAAGCUUUUUUUGACCGUUGAGUCAGAUUGUUUAGUAUGACAAAAAUAUACCGGCUGUCAGCAAGUAUCUUCUUUCAGCAAGAGCUUUUACAGGAAAUCUCAAAGUUUCUGCUAUUUUGACUAGUUCCAUGAUUUCAAUAAAAGGGAACUUUGCUGUCGCAAGUGCGAGGUUUUAAAAAAGAAAAAAAAAAAAAAGUGACAUGCACUCACUUGCUACACGGACCUCUACUGAAAAGGUCACCCUCGACGCUGCAGCCUUGACUGUAUCUGCAGAUCAUGUCUGGUAACAGCACUGAAGACGGAGGAAAUGCUGCAGGCGGUUCCUCUGUAGGUCUGGCGCUGGGGCUCACGUUUUUCUUCCUGCUCCUUGUGAUCAUAGCUGGUCUGAUCACUUAUAAGUACUACCCUAAAAUCAGGCGUUUGGUGAAUUUUGCACGGAGAGAAAGCCAGGGAAAGGAGGAAUGUACCGUGAGUCCACAAGCUGGAAGCCAUCACUAUACCAGUGUGACCCUAGAGCCCGAUCACACGUCAGCGGUGCAGACACCCGUCUAUGAGAACCUGACGGCCCAAGCUGCUGCUGCCAAAACAUCUGCUGCACACCCAAGAAAGUCAUCCGUUCAACCUGAGGAGGAUUGGUACAUGCAGAGCGAUACAACAGAUGACCCCAUAUACAACAACUGUACUGCGUUUAAGCCCAGCCCCCCGGACCCGCAGGAUGAGGACGUGUACAUUGUCCCAGAUUCAUAGGACAUGUUUUCAUCACUUCACUGGGAAAACUGAGCCGCAUCCUUGGCUUUGCUGUCUGGAUGUGUUCAACUAGGAAGUCCCGUCAUGCCGCUGCACCUGCAGCUCUUAGUGUCUAUUCAGUUUUUUCUAUUGAAGCAUUUCAUUAUUACAAAUGUCACCGGUAAAGUUAUGAAAUUAGGCAAAAGUCAUUGCUCGUGUGUUGAAUAUCUAAGUUUAUGGUAUGAUAAGAGGAUGUCUUUUCUUCGAGCACCUUUGCUGCAGGUAUUAGACAUAUCCUUCUUUAUUGGCAGGCCAAGGGGAUUGAUUUGCUGAUUAGAUAGAAAAUUGUCCUUUUGAUCAAUCUGAAAGGGCUGCUGAGUCACGUUCAUCUUGACCUCUCCAGCAGAAAACGGUGCUCAGUGCCUCAAGUUGCACACGUUUAGUGUUCUGAAGUAUUUGUACACAAGAGACACUGUGCUUUUUAAAUAUCGUUUAACAGAUAUAUUUAAAAUGAAUUUGCAAAUAAAAAGGACUUUUUUUUACCAACCUGAGGAUAUGAAAACAGAUAAUUUAGUCACUAGUCUCCUGUGUAGAUGAACAUAUGCCUCUACUGUCCAGACCAGGAGUCAUGUGUUCAUCCUCUGUCUACAGUUUAGAGAUCCAUUUUUGUGAUCAAAUAUUACUGUCAAUAUUAUUUUCAUCAUGUUGCAGCUUCCCGUAGGCGACCUUUACUGAUGUAACAGCGGGUUACAAGGAUUUCGCCGUGUUACUUUGAAAUGGAUGCCGAGAGUUGAAUUUACAAUCCGAGUCGUCUAACAUUUGAUAAAGUGUUGUUGCUCUCCGGCCCGGCGGCCUGCAGCUCCAACCCACCCUGGAGUUGUGUGACAUGCAGCAACUGAAGUUGUAAACCAACAAAACCAAACUAUGUAGAAAAAAAGCAGUUUGUAAUGUCACUUUUUUUAGAGAGGGCAUCCACCCAGGCUGUGUUUCUUGAGUUUGGACUGAUUAAGUUGAGCUCUAAGACGACGACUGCUGAAGCUCCAGAGGCCCCUGCUUUAAGGGGGACUCGUCUUUCUGACUUUUCUUCACAAACUAUGAGAGAAUUCAAAAGUAAAGGUUAAAAGUUUAUGUUGUAAAUAUAGAUUUACAAAGAGAUGGAUAGAAACUUAUCUUACGUUGAUCAUUUUAGAACGACAGGUUGAAGAGUCUCUAUCUCCUCCAUAAACAUCUUUUGUUUGUUCCAGUCAUCCUCAAAACAGAGUGGAAAAACAGAUAAACCGCUGAGUGGAGCUUAACUUAUUUAUUGUUUCUUAAGUUUAACUUGAGCAACAAUAAAUACAGUUACUUCCACCUCUGUUUGUUUCUGAUUUGUUUAUUGCACUAACCCAAGGUCCCUCAGUUCAGCCUUUCAUACGAUCACUUUAUUAACUGGAGAACACUACAUCCAUGUUUCAGUUAACUUUAUCCAUUCAAAGAUAAAAACUAUGAAGUACAAAGAGUUGGUGGUGUCAUUAAACUGCAAUCUAAAAAGGUUUGCUACUUGUUUCUGUUUACUCACAGCAGCAGGUGUCUUUAUGCUGCUUACUUUGUUUUUUUCCUUGAGCUUUGACAUUUUUCCCCAACUUUCUUUCAAUUUGUGAUUUUUUUCAAGUGUUUUCAGCCAUACAAGAACAUUUCUUACAAAUAAAUGAUUUCACCAGGACUAAA